rnacentral:lncRNA from 1 species
AAGGAAUGAGCUUCUGUACGGGCUUGCAGACGAGGUUGAGGAGGACAAACGUGAGUAAACUUCAGGUUGUAAGUAGCCUAUAUCUAAUGAGUCUUUGCAUCCUAGUUUGUAACCUUUAUGUAAAUCCUUAAACCUUUGUGUCUGAGUAAGUUGUUUUAUGACCCUUAAGGACUCUUAUUUACUCGCAUCAAAGUUCUUGUUGUCUUACUUGUUUACUAUAAGGACAAAAGUUCCAUUGAAUAUCUUCUGCUAUAUACAGACUGCUUUUUUUACAAAGUAUUAAAAAUUCUAUAACUAUGCUAUUAAACUUGCCAAAACUUUGUCAAGAAUCUCACAAAAUAUUUUUAUAAAGUAAACAUAAACUUUAACAGAUGGUUUAUUGACAUUAUUUUAUCAAAUUUGAUUUAGUAAAUAUUUGGAACUAUAUAAUGUUGAUGACAUUGUAUAAUAUGUUGUAUGAUAUAUGCUAAAUCAUUUUAAUAAUUAUGGUCUAAAUAUUGUAGAUCUAUAUUAUUAGUUAUAAGAUAUGGUGUAUAACGUUAUUUCAUUACAACCAUAACAUUUGGCGAAAAAGUAUUUUAUUUAAAGUGUAUCACAUGAAAUGAGAAGUAAUAAUAGAAUUCAUUUAAGUAUUUUAUUUAAAGUGUAUCACAUGAAAUGAGAAGUAAUAAUAGAAUUCAUUUAAGUAUUUUAUUUAAAGUGUAUCACAUGAAAUGAGAAGUAAUAAUAGAAUUCAUUUAAGUAUUUUAUUUAAAGUGUAUCACAUGAAAUGAGAAGUAAUAAUAGAAUUCUGUGAAAAGUAUUUAAAAUAUUAUAUAUUUAAAUUAAUUAAUGAUAUGACAAAAAAAUAAUUUUGCAUGGGUGAAACAAUUUAUAUGUGGAUGGCGUGAAAACCUAUAUAUGUAAAAUGAUAAUUGAUGAUAAUUAAAUAACAGAGACAAAUUUAUAAUUAAUUGGAUUGAUUAGUUUGUUCAAUACGAAAUUGUAGGAGUAGAUAAUAUAAAGAUUAUAUUUUAUUAAUAUAUAUUUUAUACUGAUCAAGGUAAAUAUUAUUAGAGAAAUAUAUGGAACAUAUUGUUAGUCUAAAUUUAAGGUAAGACCAAAUGAAUGGGUGCAAUAACCUUGUAUAGGUAGAUUUUUCAGAAUGUUUCUUUUUUAAUACUAUAGAUAAGUCUGUUGUUCCACUUCGGCUAUUGUCAUUUGGGCCUUUUUUGUAUAUACAUGCAGUAUCAGUUAGAUCCAGCAAAAUAAAUCAGUUUCUGGUUGUGUACUCAGUUACUUCGGAGUGAAGGUGAGUUCGUGGAUGACCGAAUCUUAGCAGAGAGACUAGGAUAGCACCAAACCAAGUUUUUGUUCUCAAACUAGCACUCAAGGCUCAAACCUUAGAGUUUAGAGUUAAGGGUGGAGUUUUGGAAUUAGGGUUUAAAAUUUUAUAAAAUAAAAAAUAAAUACUAAAAAACUGAAAAUAAAAAUUUUAAAAAACAGUUUAAAAAUUAUUUUUGAAUUCUAAAAACAAAAUUUGAAAAAAGAAUAAAAAUAAUUCAAAAAAAAUUAUAAAAAUUUUCGAAUCUGAAAACAUAUAAUCUGAAACUAUAAAAAAAUUUCUUUUUUUUCAUUUUUUAUUUUUAUUUUAUUUGUUUUUAUUUAUUUUUGUUUGUUUAUUUAAUUUUAAAUCAAGAGUAUUAAAAAUAUUUUAUCCUUUAAUAAAUGUUAUUUUUGCGACUUUUUCCUUCUAGUACCAUUUUUGAGAUAAAAACUCAAAAUGUGAUAUUAUUAACAAUUGUCCAAAAAAUUUAUUUGAUAUAACUUUUUGUGCCAACAGUUAUCUAUCCACUAUUACAUUAUUUUGAUAUUCAUUUGAUAUAUCAAUGCAGACCUAAUUUUUAUGAGAUGAAAUUGGAAUAAUAAUAAUUAUUAUUAUUAUGAAAUUCUACAAUUUACCAAUGAAAAGCUAUAGUUUCAUACUUCCAUUUCAUCAAAAAAUUGAUUUCUAGAUAUGUCUAACUUUUAAGAGUAAUUUAUUUUUGGUAAUAAAGUGAAUCUGUUUGACAAAAAAAAAAAAAUAAAGUGAAUCUUCGAUCAGCUCCGUACCCAAAAUUCCUCCUCCCUUGCCCGAUCGAGAAUCUUCGAUCACCAAUUUCCAUGGAAAAUCACUCAACGGGAUUCUGGGCGGCUUGGAUUCUGCUCCUCAUCGGAGCUUCCAAUGCCUCGAUCCACGACUACAAGACCGAAAAGUUCAUCCCACAAGCCAAUUCUCGAUUCUUCCAUGGCGGCAGCGAAGGUCUCUACGCCUCCAACUCUCAAGACCUAAACACUUCCUCUUCUUCUUCCGAUAUAUCUCUUAAAGGAAAGUCCUUUGUAAGGUCAAUCACUCUCUCUCUCCUCAUCACCUUUUUACUGAUAGCGAGUUUUUUCAAGAUUGUAUAAUAAGCCUCUCUUGUCUUAGGUUUGCUGACGUAACCUUCGUGAGGACGAUGGAAUCCGCUAGCAAACAGAACCCAAUGCAGUCCACCGCAGGUCUGGUCGAAGCGAUACUACUCGAGGUGAAAGACCGUGAUCGAAUCGGCGGAUCUUUUCUCAAGAGCAAUGCUAUUUGCUGCACUCCUGAUCUUGCUGAUGCUGGCUCUUGCACUCUCGGCGAAGUUAUUAUCAAAAGAGAUUCUAAUGAUGAUAAGUGGCCGAGACAGAUCAAGACUUUCUUUAAAGGGAACAAGACGGAAGCUGCUAUGCUUCCGGAGACCGUGGUGAUAAACAAAACAGGGAUGUACUAUCUUUACUUCGUGAUAUGCGACCCGGGGCUGGACGGGACUGUGAUCAGAGGGAGAACGGUUUGGAAGAAUCCCGACGGUUAUUUACCGGGAAAAGUGGCUCCUCUGAUGAAGUUUUUCGGAUUCAUGUCUUUGGCUUAUCUCUUGCUCGGCCUCGUUUGGUUUCUGAGGUUUGUUAAGUUCUGGAAGGAUAUCAUUCAGCUGCACUAUCAUAUCACUUUGGUUAUCGCUCUUGGGAUGUGUGAGAUGGCUGUUAGGUACUUUGAGUACGCUAAUUUUGAUUCUACUGGGAUGAGACCGAUGGAUGUUACUCUGUGGGCGGUGACGUUUGGUUCCGUUAAGAAGACGCUUUCGAGGCUUCUUCUUUUGGUUGUCUCUAUGGGUUUUGGGGUGGUGAAGCCUACGCUUGGUGGGAUGAGCUCGAGGGUGCUUCUUCUUGGAGUUGUAUAUUUUGUUGCAACGGAGGCUCUUGAGUUGGUUGAGCAUUUGGGAAACAUUAAUGACUUUUCUGGAAAGACAUUGAUAUAUUUGGUGAUUCCUGUGGCGAUAUUGGAUGCUUGCUUUAUUCUGUGGAUUUUCUCAUCAUUGGCAAGAACCCUUGAGAAACUUCAGGUAAGAGAGACUCAGUAAGCUACCUUUUUUUAGCUCUCUGCUUAUCUUUCUAAUGUCCAACUGCAGAUUAAGAGAAACAUGGCUAAGCUUGAGCUUUAUAGGAAUUUCACCAAUUCGCUCGCUGUCUCUGUUCUGCUCUCUAUUGCUUGGAUUGGUUUUGAGGUAACGACUCUUGCGUGUUACUUGAAACACUCUAGUACUCAAAAGGGAACAUUCUUAUUUGUCUCUGUUAUCAGCUUUACUUCAACGCAAGUGACCCUUUAAGCGAACUCUGGCGAAUGGCAUGGAUCAUUCCAGCGUUUUGGAAUCUACUAUCUUAUGGCCUAUUAGCAGUCAUAUGCAUCCUUUGGGCUCCAUCCAACAAUCCUACCAGGUUCUACCAUUUUUUUCUCAAUUCUUUUUGACUUCAAUCGUGCAAAGAUAAGAAGACUCUUAUUUGGUUUUCACCGAGAGAUGUAUAUUUGCACCUUGCAGGUAUUCAUACUUAGCAGAAACAGGGGACGAGUUUGAAGAGGAAGGUAUAUCGUUGACGAGUGGUGGAAUUAAGAUUACAGGCGAUGUUGAAAGGAAUGAGCUUCUGUACGGGCUUGCAGACGAGGUUGAGGAGGACAAACGUGAGUAAACUUCAGGUUGUAGCCUAUAUCUAACGAGUCUUUGCAUCCUAGUUUGUAACCUUUAUGUAAAUCUUUAAACCUUUGUGCCUGAGUAAGUUGUUUUAUGACCCUUAAGGACUCUUAUUUACUCACAUCAAAGUUCUUGUUGUCUUACUUGUUUACUACAAGGACAAAAGUUCCAUUGAAUAUCUUCUGCUAUAUAC